rnacentral:lncRNA from 1 species
CCCAAGGCCACUCUGAGGAGGGUUGAAUGUUCUUUAUUAAAAGGACUGAGGAUCAUGUGUGUUGGUGGGCCUUGGACUCUGCUCUAAGAGCUGCACGGGGGCUUGGAUCAAUGCCUGAAUCCAGUGUUCCUGAGUGCAGAGCAUCUUUGCUCUGGGUGAGCUUUGACCAUCCUGGAGAAGAAGGCUGCUGCGGGGGUGGGACAAAGCCAAGACCAAUGCCCAGCGGCCAAGGCCAGCCAGGUGGCUCUGUGCUGGCAGCCAGUGUACACGGAUUUUACCUGAAGGAAAAUGUCACGUUUUCCACAGACAACUGAAGGAAAAGAGCUCUUUGGAUUACCCUAAUUGUGAUUUACUCAUUGGAACCACUGUUUUGGAUUGUCCAAAAUUAAGUCUCAAAGCUUAAAUAU